rnacentral:rRNA from 1 species
UGGGGAAUAUUGCACAAUGGGCGCAAGCCUGAUGCAGCCAUGCCGCGUGUAUGAAGAAGGCCUUCGGGUUGUAAAGUACUUUCAGCGGGGAGGAAAGGAGUAAAGUUAAUACCUUUGCUCAUUGACGUUACCCGCAGAAGAAGCACCGGCUAACUCCGUGCCAGCAGCCGCGGUAAUACGGAGGGUGCAAGCGUUAAUCGGAAUUACUGGGCGUAAAGCGCACGCAGGCGGUUUGUUAAGUCAGAUGUGAAAUCCCCGGGCUCAACCUGGGAACUGCAUCUGAUACUGGCAAGCUUGAGUCUCGUAGAGGGGGGUAGAAUUCCAGGUGGAGCGGUGAAAUGCGUAGAGAUCUGGAGGAAUACCGGUGGCGAAGGCGGCCCCCUGGACGAAGACUGACGCUCAGGUGCGAAAGCGUGGGGAGCAAACAGG